rnacentral:rRNA from 1 species
AGAGUUUGAUCCUGGCUCAGGAUGAACGCUAGCGACAGGCUUAACACAUGCAAGUCGAGGGGCAGCGAGGGAGUGGCAACACUUCUGUCGGCGACCGGCGCACGGGUGAGUAACGCGUAUGCAACCUGCCCUUCACAGGGGGAUAACCGGGAGAAAUUCCGACUAAUACCGCAUACGUCCUCCGGGGGCAUCCCCGGGGGAUGAAAGAAUUAUCGGUGAAGGAUGGGCAUGCGUGAUAUUAGGUAGUUGGCGGGGCAACGGCCCACCAAGCCCACGAUAUCUAGGGGUUCUGAGAGGAAGGUCCCCCACAUUGGUACUGAGACACGGACCAAACUCCUACGGGAGGCAGCAGUGAGGAAUAUUGGUCAAUGGACGAGAGUCUGAACCAGCCAAGUCGCGUGAAGGAAGACGGAUCUAUGGUUUGUAAACUUCUUUAGUGCGGGAACAAAGCGGCGUCGUGACGCCUGAUGAGUGUACCGCAAGAAUAAGCAUCGGCUAACUCCGUGCCAGCAGCCGCGGUAAUACGGAGGAUGCGAGCGUUAUCCGGAUUUAUUGGGUUUAAAGGGAGCGCAGGCUGCGAGGCAAGUCAGCGGUCAAAUGUCGGGGCUCAACCCCGGCCUGCCGUUGAAACUGUCCUGCUAGAGUUCGAGUGAGGUAUGCGGAAUGCGUUGUGUAGCGGUGAAAUGCAUAGAUAUGACGCAGAACUCCGAUUGCGAAGGCAGCAUACCAACUCGCGACUGACGCUGAGGCUCGAAAGCGUGGGUAUCGAACAGGAUUAGAUACCCUGGUAGUCCACGCAGUAAACGAUGAAUACUAACUGUUCGGAGGGCGACCUCUGAGUGGUAAAGCGAAAGCGUUAAGUAUUCCACCUGGGGAGUACGCCGGCAACGGUGAAACUCAAAGGAAUUGACGGGGGCCCGCACAAGCGGAGGAACAUGUGGUUUAAUUCGAUGAUACGCGAGGAACCUUACCCGGGCUCAAACGUCGGGCGAAUCAUCCUGAAAGGGAUGAGCCAGCAAUGGCGGCCGACGAGGUGCUGCAUGGUUGUCGUCAGCUCGUGCCGUGAGGUGUCGGCUUAAGUGCCAUAACGAGCGCAACCCCCGCGUCCAGUUGCCAGCGAGUAGAGUCGGGCACUCUGGACGGACUGCCGGCGCAAGCCGCGAGGAAGGCGGGGAUGACGUCAAAUCAGCACGGCCCUUACGUCCGGGGCGACACACGUGUUACAAUGGCGUGGAACAGAGGGAAGCCACCUGGCGACAGGGAGCGGAACCCGAAAACACGUCUCAGUUCGGAUUGGAGUCUGCAACUCGACUCCAUGAAGCUGGAUUCGCUAGUAAUCGCGCAUCAGCCAUGGCGCGGUGAAUACGUUCCCGGGCCUUGUACACACCGCCCGUCAAGCCAUGGGAGCCGGGAGUGCCUGAAGGCCGUAACCGCAAGGAGCGGUCAAGGGUAAGACUGGUGACUGGGGCUAAGUCGUAACAAGGUAGCCGUACCGGAAGGUGCGGCUG